GAUGUCAAAGAUAUGCAAUUGCCCACAACACAAAGUAAUGCGCUGGGCUAUGCCAUUUAUGCUGGGUAGUGCUUCUUAUUCACAACACAAAAAGAAUUGAAGUCAGAACCAACGCCGACCAAAGAAAAAGCUAAUCAUGUGUGCAAAAAUGCCAUUCGGUAACUCGGACCUUCCAACCAAAUAAAAAGCAGAUUUCAAAUAACAGUUGCUGCCGAUUGAACUAGCGGAAAACAAAACCUCCUAAUCUUUUUGCUACCAUCAAGAGCAGCGUCAUCAUUUCCUUGAUGGAGUUCUUUAGACAUAUUUGCAAUGAUCGUUGGCAGAGGUAACUUUUAGUUGGUAUUGAAGAAUUACACUAUGUUCUUGCCGCUUCCCCCACAACAAUAAAAGUUAUCCCCGAUACAAAAAGAACCAAUGUGUAAUUUUUUUCACUUAGCCAACUUUCAACAUAAAUAAAGUCAUGGUUAUCUGAAAUUUUCAACGAAUGUAAAGCCAGCUAAAACGCAAAUAAAUAAAAAAUAAUUUAA